rnacentral:rRNA from 1 species
CCUACGGGCGGCUGCAGUGGGGAAUGUUGGACAAUGGGCGAAAGCCUGAUCCAGCCAUGCCGCGUGUGUGAAGAAGGCCUUCGGGUUGUAAAGCACUUUCAGUGGGGAAGAAAGCCUUGGGGCUAAUACCCUCGAGGAAGGACAUCACCCACAGAAGAAGCACCGGCUAACUCCGUGCCAGCAGCCGCGGUAAUACGGAGGGUGCGAGCGUUAAUCGGAAUUACUGGGCGUAAAGCGCGCGUAGGCGGUCUGAUAAGCCGGUUGUGAAAGCCCCGGGCUCAACCUGGGAACGGCAUCCGGAACUGUCAGGCUAGAGUGCAGGAGAGGAAGGUAGAAUUCCCGGUGUAGCGGUGAAAUGCGUAGAGAUCGGGAGGAAUACCAGUGGCGAAGGCGGCCUUCUGGACUGACACUGACGCUGAGGUGCGAAAGCGUGGGUAGCAAACAGGAUUAGAUACCCCUGUAGUC